rnacentral:rRNA from 1 species
GAUGAACGCUGGCGGCGUGCCUAAUACAUGCAAGUCGAGCGAAUGGAUUAAGAGCUUGCUCUUAUGAAGUUAGCGGCGGACGGGUGAGUAACACGUGGGUAACCUGCCCAUAAGACUGGGAUAACUCCGGGAAACCGGGGCUAAUACCGGAUAACAUUUUGAACCGCAUGGUUCGAAAUUGAAAGGCGGCUUCGGCUGUCACUUAUGGAUGGACCCGCGUCGCAUUAGCUAGUUGGUGAGGUAACGGCUCACCAAGGCAACGAUGCGUAGCCGACCUGGGAGGGGGGUCGGCCACACUGGGACUGAGACACGGCCCAGACUCCUACGGGAGGCAGCAGUAGGGAAUCUUCCGCAAUGGACGAAAGUCUGACGGAGCAACGCCGCGUGAGUGAUGAAGGCUUUCGGGUCGUAAAACUCUGUUGUUAGGGAAGAACAGGUGCUAGUUGAAUAAGCUGGCACCUUGACGGUACCUAACCAGAAAGCCACGGCUAACUACGUGCCAGCCGCCGCGGUAA